GAAUCUGCAUCCUCUCUUUCAAGCUAGCAUUGUGUUUCUAAAAGGAAGGUGGGAAGUUUACUCCACUGAAACAUUCUCAGGGCAAGCACUUCUUCAACAACAAGACUGAAGCAUAAAUGUGCCUUGUUUUCUCCCAGAUGUUACAUCCUACUUCAGAACAAAUUCCAAAACACAGGUUUCCCUGGAAUGUCUAUCACAGAAAGACAAGGAAAUGGAAGAUCCUUCUGCUGCAGCAAGUAAUGGGAGAGCUGGAAAUACAGCUAUGUGUCAUGAACUAGAAGAAAAGGCACUAUGGUUACAGCAACAGAGAAAUGAGGGAAGUGAAGUGACUCUCCUGACACACUGCAGUAGGAGCCACGCUCUUCCUGAAAUGUAAAAUCAGAGUGAACUGUCUGAAGUUAAUACUACAAGUACACAAACAUCCAAAUUGCCUAAUCUUACCUGAAUCUGAACUAACACUUCCAUUGUCACCUUUGGGUUAUCUCACUUGAGACAGAUCUAAUUGUUGUAAGUAUCUCCAUGCAUACUCAGCUACUUUUGUGUUUAGAGGUCAGUUUAGAGUGUACAGCACAAUUUACUUUAAAUUUUGAGCAUAGGUGGUUCAUUAAGGGAUGUUCUGUGUAGUUAUGAGUAACCACAGGUACCUAUUAUUCUAUACUCAAAUGCAUAUUAGUAUAGACACAUAACUGUGUUUGGUUGUUGUUUUUUUUUUUUAACCAGUAUUUCAUAAAAGGAUGUAUCAUAUUAUAUUAAAAUGAUUGACAAUACAAAUG
rnacentral:lncRNA from 1 species